rnacentral:rRNA from 1 species
UUUUAAAUAAGUAAGAGUUUGUGGUGGAUCUUGUGGGUCUGAAAGUCGAUGAAGGACGUGAUUACCUGCGAUAAGCCUCGUGGAGCUGGAUAUAAGCUGCGAUACGGGGAUUUCCGAAUGGGGGAACCUAGUUAGAGCAUAAAUCUAACUGCAUUAAGAUGAAUAAAUAGUCUUAAUAGCGAGACACGUUGUGAACUGAAACAUCUUAGUAGCAACAGGAAAAGAAAAUAAAUAAUGAUUCCAUUAGUAGCGAUGAGCGAAAUUGGAAGAAGUUCCAAACCAACUAUAUGUUGGGGUUGUAGGACUAUCUACAUAAAGUUACAAAUUUUUGAUAUAGCAGAAAAAGUUGGGAAGCUUUAGCAUAUAGAAGGUGAUACUCCUGUAUGCGAAAUAUCAAAAACUUUUGAUAGUAUCCUGAGUAGGGCGGGACGUGAAACCCUGUCUGAAUCUCUUAGGACCAUCUGGUAAGGCUUAAAUACUAAUCAGACACCGAUAGUGAACUAGUACCGUGAGGGAAAGGUGAAAAGAACCCCGGGAGGGGAGUGAAAUAGAAUCUGAAACCACUUACUUACAAUUAGUCAGAGUAGUUAAUGGGCGAUGGCGUACAUCUUGCAGUAUGGACCGGCGAGUUAUGUUAACAUGCGAGGUUAAGUAGAAAAAAGCGGAGUAAAUAGAGAAAUCGAGUCUUAAUAGGGCGCUUAGUAUGUUGAUAUAUACCCGAAACCAUGUGAUCUAUUCAUGAGCAGGCUACUGAAGCUUGGAUAACACCAAGUGGAGGUACUGAACCGUAGUACGCUGAAAAGUCUUGGAUGACUUGUGAAUAGUGGAGAAAUUCCAAUCGAACUUGGAGAUAGCUGGUUCUCCUCGAAAUAGCUUUAGGUACUAGCGUGUGAUGUUAAACUUUGGUGGUAGAGCACUGAAUAUGGAAUGGUACAGCCCUAGCGGUACUGACUAUAAUCAAACUCCGAAUACCAUUGUGUAUUAUCAUGCAGUCGGAACCGGGGUGCUAACGUCCCGAACUCGCGAGGCAACAACCCAGAUCGUCUACUAAGGUCCCAAAAUUAUGUUAAGUCAGAAAGGUUGUGAGAUUUCUUAAACAACUAGGAGGUUGGGCUUAGAAGCAAUGCCCUUUAAAGAGUGCGUAAUAGCUCACUAGUCAAGAGAUCUUGCGCCAAUAAUGUAACGGGAGUAAAACAUAAUACCGAAGCCCACGGGUACGCAAGUACGUUAGAGGAGCGUUCUUAAUGCAUGAAGCAAGACCGUGAGGACUUGUGGAGCGUUAAGAAGUGAGAAUGCUUAGGUAUGAGUAACGAUUCGUGGUGAGAAUCCACGACGCCUAUUGGGAAAGGUUUCCUGGGGAAGGUUCGUCCACCCAGGGUUAGUCAGGGGAAAUACCAAGGAGAGGCUGAAAAGCGUAUUCGAUGGAUAACAGGUUAAUAUUCCUGUACUACCUUAUUAUAGUGAUGGAGUGACGGAGAAGGAUAACACUACCUAUUAAUGGAUUUAGGGGUAAAUAACAACUGGUGAAUAUAGUUAAAUGCGUAUUCUAUAACCGGGAGUUAUGAUGCAUAGAACUUAGGUUUGAAUUGUGUGAUUUCAUGCUUCCAAGAAAAGCUUCUAAACGCUUAAAUUUUAAGGUACCUGUACCGAGAACGGACACACGUUCCCAAGAUGAGUAUUCUAAGGCGAGCGAGAAAACCAAUGUUAAGGAACUCUGCAAAUUAACCCCGUAAGUUCGCGAAAAGGGGCGCCAACUUUAUGUUAGUACACAGUAAAUUGUGAGGGCAACUGUUUAUCAAAAACACAGCUCUCUGCUAAACCGCAAGGUGAUGUAUAGGGGGUGAAGCUCGCCCAGCGCCUGAAGGUUAAGUGGAUGCGUUAGCAAUAGCGAAGCGUUGAAAUGGUGCCUCGGGUGAACGGCGGUACUGUAACUAUAACGGUCCUAAGGUAGCGAAAUUCCUUGUCAGUAAAUACUGACCUGCACGAAAGGCGCAAUGAUCUCUCAACUGUCUCAACAUUGGACUCGGUGAAAUUAUGGUCCCAGUGAAAACGCUGGGUACCCGCAUCAAGACGAAAAGACCCCAUGGAGCUUUACUACAACUUCGUAUUGGAACUUGGCCUAACAUGUGUAGGAUAGGUGGGAGACUAUGAUAUCAAGGCGCUAAAUUUUGAAGGAGUCAACCUUGAAAUACCACCCUUGGUAUGUUGAGUUUCUAACCUGCCGCCGUUAUCCGGCGGGGAGACAGUGCGUGGUGGGUAGUUUGACUGGGGCGGUCAUGCCUCCUAAAAGGUAACGGAGGCGUUCAAAGGUACACUCAAUACGGUCAGAAACCGUAUGUAGAGCGCAAAGGUAGAAGUGUGCUUGACUGCGAGACCUACAAGUCGAGCAGGUGCGAAAGCAGGACUUAGUGAUCCUACUGUACGUCAUGGAACAGCAGUCGCUCAACGGAUAAAAGUUACCCUGGGGAUAACAGGCUUAUCUUCGCCCAAGAGAUCACAUCGACAGCGAGGUUUGGCGCCUCGAUGUCUACUAUCGCAUCCUGGAGCUGGAGUAGGUUCCAAGGGUUUGUACUGUUCGCCAAUUAAAGCGGUACGCGAGCUGGGUUCAGAACGUCGUGAGACAGUUCGGUCCCUAUCUGAUGUGGGCGUUGGAAUAUUGAUGAGAGCUGCUCUUAGUACGAGAGGACCGGAGUGGACGUACCGCUGGUGUUCCAGUUGUUCUCAAGAGCAUAGCUGGGUAGCUAAGUACGGAAGGGAUAACCGCUGAAAGCAUCUAAGUGGGAAGCCUCCUUAAAGAUAAGUAUUCCCUUGAAAUUCCUUGUAGACUACGAGGUUGAUAGGAUGGAAGUGUAAGUGUAGUAAUACAUUCAGCUGACCAUUACUAAUAAAUUGAUAGGUUUAAAAGA